UGGCUGGGGGAAAACACCGGGAACACAGCAGAGCUAACGAAGCUGAUGCAGGGCAGGCGUGGAGGGAAAAAACAGCACAGUGACGCAGCAGAAAACACAAUGAGACAGAUGAUGGUGCUUGCAGUGAUACAUUGCCAGAAAACCGUGGAAGAAAAGUCUGAGAUCAUAAUAAGAAACAUGACAGUCUGUGUGUACGUGUUUACUGUACAGGAGCUACAGUCAGUUCAGCUGAACAUCUCCAGACGUGGCAGGACGCCGACACACACAGGAUGUCAACAACCAACUUGUAAUAGAGGCAAAGAGCAUGAUGACAGAUUUGGGUGAAACUGAGCCACACUAACGUGCAGAGAAACUUCCUUUUGUCUCUUAUCCAAUGUUUGUUUUUUUUCUGAUGAUACAGCUGUUCACAUCCACAACAUCAGAAACACACCUACUCACUGUCUGUGUGUAUGAAAACAUAAUAAACUGAAACAGGUCUCUGGAUCAAAACAAGGUUUUAUUCACAUGUAUUUGUUAUAAAUAUAACAAAACAUUUGAUUUAAUCAGGAGAGUUUGAAACUGAGCUGCGAC